rnacentral:rRNA from 1 species
AGUGAACGCUGGCGGUAGGCCUAACACAUGCAAGUCGAACGGCAGCACAGUAAGAGCUUGCUCUUACGGGUGGCGAGUGGCGGACGGGUGAGGAAUACAUCGGAAUCUACUUUUUCGUGGGGGAUAACGUAGGGAAACUUACGCUAAUACCGCAUACGACCUACGGGUGAAAGCAGGGGAUCUUCGGACCUUGCGCGAUUGAAUGAGCCGAUGUCGGAUUAGCUAGUUGGCGGGGUAAAGGCCCACCAAGGCGACGAUCCGUAGCUGGUCUGAGAGGAUGAUCAGCCACACUGGAACCGAGACACUGUACAGACUCCUACGGGAGGCAGCAGUGGGGAAUAUUGGACAAUGGGCGCAAGCCUGAUCCAGCCAUACCGCGUGGGUGAAGAAGGCCUUCGGGUUGUAAAGCCCUUUUGUUGGGAAAGAAAAGCAGCAGGUUAAUACCCCGCUGUUCUGACGGUACCCAAAGAAUAAGCACCGGCUAACUUCGUG